rnacentral:rRNA from 1 species
UUUAUCGUGUACGCAAGUCAUUGGGUGUUUAAAACCCAAAGGCGAAAUGAAAGUAAAGAGUAGAUUAUUGUAUUAAAUAAAAUUUUUUUUUAUUACAAUAUCUCUUAAGGGAAGAUGGAAAUGGAACAAGCAAUUAUUUGUUUUGUUAAAAUUUUCCGCACUCCCAGGGCGCUUGUAUCUCGCUUUGCGAAUCGAUGCGCACCUAGAGCGUACACGAUGAUACCCGAAAGAUGGUGAACUAUGCCUGGCCAGGACGAAGCCAGGGGAAACCCUGGUGGAGGUCCGCAGCGAUUCUGACGUGCAAAUCGAUCGUCGGAGCUGGGUAUAGGGGCGAAAGACCAAUCGAACCAUCUAGUAGCUGGUUCCCUCUGAAGUUUCCCUCAGGAUAGCUUGCACUCGGUUGAGAAGAGUCUCAUCCGGUAGAGCGAAUGAUUAGAGGCAUUGGGGUCGAAACGACCUCAACCUAUUCUCAAACUCCAAAUAGAUGAGAUCCCCGGCUUUCUUAAAAGUGAAGCCGUGGGGAUAUGAUCAAGUGCCAAGUGGGCCAAUUUUG